CCACAUCACCACUCUGUCAUUUUCUU
rnacentral:tRNA from 4 species